rnacentral:rRNA from 1 species
CCAGACUCCUACGGGAGGCAGCAGUAGGGAAUCUUCGGCAAUGGACGAAAGUCUGACCGAGCAACGCCGCGUGAGUGAAGAAGGUUUUCGGAUCGUAAAACUCUGUUGGUAGAGAAGAACGUUGGUGAGAGUGGAAAGCUCAUCAAGUGACGGUAACUACCCAGAAAGGGACGGCUAACUACGUGCCAGCAGCCGCGGUAAUACGUAGGUCCCGAGCGUUGUCCGGAUUUAUUGGGCGUAAAGCGAGCGCAGGUGGUUUAUUAAGUCUGGUGUAAAAGGCAGUGGCUCAACCAUUGUAUGCAUUGGAAACUGGUAGACUUGAGUGCAGGAGAGGAGAGUGGAAUUCCAUGUGUAGCGGUGAAAUGCGUAGAUAUAUGGAGGAACACCGGUGGCGAAAGCGGCUCUCUGGCCUGUAACUGACACUGAGGCUCGAAAGCGUGGGGAGCAAACAGGAUUAGAUACCCUGGUAGUCCACGCCGUAAACGAUGAGUGCUAGAUGUAGGGAGCUAUAAGUUCUCUGUAUCGCAGCUAACGCAAUAAGCACUCCGCCUGGGGAGUACGACCGCAAGGUUGAAACUCAAAGGAAUUGACGGGGCCCGCACAAG